AGGAGAUUGACGUGACCUAGAGAGAGAAGGAGAAGAAGAAAAUAAAGAAAAUGGGAGAAAAUUCAAACCUAGGUGAGUGCUUUGAUUGUUGGUGGUUUAAUCAUCUCUUCUACAUUCUCAUCUUCUUAAUCUAGUUUUCAUGUUAAUGUUUAUGUCUUUUUUUUUUUUUUUUGUGGAUUUUGAAACCUAGCGGUUGAUUGAAGGUGGUGACCAUUUUUGGGUUUUGGUUUCUAUCAAGGAGGUUCAUUGUGAAGUUUGUUCCAUUUUUGCUUUGCUUGGACCUGAGCAAAUGGUUGUUAGCGCGUUGAACGCGACACAACAAAGGGGCAACUAAGGACAUAAGACGUAACUCGAGUUACUAAGGUACAACGUAACCCGAGUUACUAGGGUACGGCGUAACUCAUAGGACGGACGCGCUGAGGUUAUUCAAGGACCAUAGUCUCCUGUUUACCUCAAGAUGUGACAUGGACAAGAGAGGGGCCAUGUUCACAAGGAUGUGAUGAUGAUGUUUAUGCUGGUGAUGUGUAAAUAUGAUAAUGAUGUAUGAUGUAUGAUGAUGAUGUUUAAGUAUGUCGUAUGAUGAUGUAUUGAUAUGGUUUCGUCUGAGUCUUACGAUAUGAUUAUGUUUUGUUGUCUUUUCUUUGUAUGUUGCUUGUACUUCCUUACUGGGCUUUUAGCUCACCCCCUUACUUUUCCCCUUUCAAGUAAUAAAUAGGAUUUCUCUUCGGCACACCCUGUGAUGUGAGGCGUUCCGACGUCAGAGUGUGU